rnacentral:lncRNA from 1 species
CAGUCACCCUGGCUUUGGUUGUUGGCUUUCUGGUGUGGAUAUCAACACUCAGCAGAGCUUUGAAGCCUUGUCGGAGAGAGCUGUGGCAGUGGUUGUGGAUCCCAUUCAGAGUGUAAAAGGAAAGGUAGAGUAGAUUCUAUCUUUAUUAGCACCUACUGCCACAUUCUGUUUACAGAUACAUUAGAUUAAAAUUUCUUUUGUUUAGAGCAGGAUUUGUACACACACAGAAAAAAAAAAAAAAAACCCUGACUGUGUAUUUAAAAACACAAACAAAAAACUGUACAAGUCGAAAAAUGUGUCUUGGUAUAAUUAGCAAUAUAACUAUUUGGAGAUUUGUUUCUACUUUAAUCAGCUAAAAUUGUCUAAUCAUAAAUGUUUAUUUUUAAAUUUAAUUUUAUUUCAUAGAUUUAAGAACAUUAAACCACAUAAAAGCCUGCUAUGCACAUUUUAUUAUUAUUUUAGUAAACAUUGUUUUAUCUUCCUUUAUUUUAAAAUGGUGAAUUUGGGAUUGGCACAACAUUUUAUGUCUCUAGUUAAAGACUCUCUGUUUUGCAGACAUUGUAUAGAACAUAUUCUGGAGUUGGAUGUUCCAAAUGUUUUAGACAAUGAAAACUUGACCCAAAGACUUGGUAUCAGCCAUUCGCAUUUUUGGAGUGAGGACGCAGAUGAAUGAUUAAAUAUGCUAAAUGAUUCAGAAAAGAGAUUAACUUGCAAAGCAUAUUGGGUUAUAGUUGUUCUUUGUUGAAAUCUUUUGUUCUUGUUUAGUUCUUUUUUUUCCCCCCUUCGUUCUCUCUCUCUUUCUUUCUUUUUUUUAUUUCUUUCUUUCUAGCCCCAUAUGCCAUUUUCCUAUUUCCUGCCUCAUGACAGCAGGGAGCAGCUCUAUUAUCACCUUCACAGAGCUGUCUGCAAAUGUGAGAGGCAAUUCGAUUUUGCUCAACCACAGGGAGAGUGGAUUAGAAAAACUACAGAACAUACAGAAAUUGGCUAGGUGGUUACUGCUUUAAAAUACUGCUGAGGUGUCUUGUUUGAGCAUGUACUUCCAUUGUAGUGUAGAAUAAUUGUUAAAAUCACAAUACAUUUAUGGAAUCCUUUUUAUGUAGCUUUUAGAAAUAAUUUUUAGAGCACUUAAAAAUAAAUAUUAGCUUGCUAUCUAUCAGACCUGGAAUUUGCUACUAUUGCAGAUUACAUUUAUAUCUGCUCACCAGCUCAAACAAACUAAAUAUGGCUAUUAAACGUGGAGUUUUUAUCUGUUUUGAAUUUGAAGUUGAACACUUUCUGACAUCCUAUCAUUAUGACGAAUAAAAAUUGAGGUCUUCCCUAAAUCAUGAUCCUAUUAGAUGUGAUUUAGUUUUUCAGAGGUGGAAACUAGCCACAAAAACAAUAAUAAUAGAAACCAAUGUAGUAGAUAAUUCAAAGAGGAUCACUUCUGAUGCUUGCUGUAUACCUGUAUUUCAGUUUAUUCUUUUUAAAACUAUAUUGUUACUUAACUAAUACAGAUAAAAGGAGUUAAAUCCUUGAAUUUUGUUAGUUUUAUGAAUUAAAAUACAGUAUGAUACUUCCCAAAGUUUAAUUCUCUGAUACGGUACCUUUUUAAUAACUCACAAUUAACUCAUUUAAGUAAUAAUUAUUAUUUUAGAAAUAUAACAGUUAUCCAGUUAAGUACCCCCACCACAAUAUUUACAAAAGAUAAUUGAAGCUUAAUUUUAAGUAUAAUUAGAGUUCUGUCUUGUUUAUAGUAUCUUGAUGUCAGUUUUAGUUUCUAAACCUAGUUUAGGUAUUAUAUAACAUUGGUAUUUGCAUUGUUUAUUUCUGAUUAAUCAUAAUUCAUUUUGAAAGAAUGACUUUCAUUAAAACACUUGCAUGACAGGACUGUUGUCGUAUGGUAAAUGUAGUUAUUUUUUCAAAAUAAUAUAUCUAAAAUUACUUUAUAAAAUCAUAUGUAUCAUUGUCUAGUUUUACAUGUCAUAAAAAAUAUUUUUGAAAAAUAGAGUAUAAGUAUCUGUCAUCGAUGAUUCACAUCACUUCUUGCACCCAACAUAGAUUCGUAUAGUUAAUAUUACCUGAAAUAAGGAUCCAGUUCUUUCUCAAUAGUGUAACUUCAUCUGUAGGAUGUCUGAGUUUGGUUAUAAUUUAUGGUUCUUUUAGUGUCAAGACUUCUCAAAACUGUAAGCCAAACUUACGUAUAUAAACUUAAAAAAAAACAAGAGUAACAUAGGAUUCUCCCUCUCCCCUUCCCUGCAUGUGAUUUAUCAAAGCUGUCAAAAUAUUUAGCAAAACAAUGAUUAGAUCAAGAGUUAAAAUGACAACCUAUAUAUAAAUUAUUCACAUUGAGUCUCUGUUCACUUAAUACCUCUUUCCUGUAUAUUUUAUAUUUUCAUUUUCAUAAAUCCCAAUAUUAUCUGUUUUUGAGUGAUGAGGUAAUUACUAAUUCUUUGUAGUCUCAUUAAUUCAUAAUGUUUGAUUUCCUUUUAUAGUGACUUGACUGUAUAUUUAUGGAAUUAUUGCUGUGUGCCAGGUAUUGUGGUGAUAAAUUUUCAACUUGUCUCAUGUAUUCUUUAGUAAUUCUGGGGAUACAGGCAGUAUUAUUAAUCCAUUUUAUCAAUGAAAAGGUAAAAAAAAAAUUAGGGUCAAAGAGAUUACCCAAAAUCAUAGCAUUAUUUUUUAAUUUUUAUUUUGUAAUGUCUAUUUUUGAGAGAGAGAGAGAGAGAGAGUGCAAGUGGGGGGUGGGGGCAGAGAGAGAGAUAGAGAGAGAGCGAGAGAGAGAGGGAGAUACAGAAUCCAAAAUAGCUGUCAGCACAGCUCUGAGCUGUUAGCACAGAGCCUAACGCAGGGCUCGAACUCACGAACUGUGAGUUCAUGACCUGAGCUGAAGUCAGAUACUUAACCAACUGAGCCACCCAGGCACCCCCAAAAUCAUAGCAUUAUUAAGCAGCAGAACAAGGAUACAAAUCAGGUCUAUAAAAUUUCAGAGCUCAAACUGUUUUAAUGGCUCUUUAAUAUUAGACAGUUACGAACUAUAUAAUUAGAGUAACACAGAAUUGGAAAAUGAGUACCAGAGGUCAUUACCACACCCUUUCUUAACUUAUUUGGAUAGGUAUCACUUCCCUCAGUGUAAGUCAGGGUAAGGGGCUACACAUUUUGUCUAAGUUCUCAAUAGUUCCCUAUACUAUUUAUAGUAGUUAUUUAUUAAUUGAUUUUUCUUAUACAGUAUUCUGUUAAUUAAAAAAAAAAAAGACAAUUUAGACAGACCUGUUCCUGUCAGCUUUUGCGACAUCCCUAGGGCCAAACAUUGAGACCUACGUAAAUAAUAAAAUACACUAUAUGAUAAAGAAUCCACAGUAUUCUGUAUAUUAUGUAAUCCUGUAAAUGUUUAAAAAUGAUACAGGUAGAAAAUGUUAAUAACAUGCAUAAUUUAAAUGGAGAGUAAGCUAUAGAAAUUACUGGUGAGUCUCACUCUAAACUUCUCAGUGAAAUAGUUAAAAAUCUGUUUUAGUUUAUUUGUAAAAUACGCAUAUUCAGAUAUUCUAAACUUCAGUUCUCAAGUAAUAAAGUGACAGCCUCUUGCUUAAAGUUUUGUUGUCUUGAAUAUAUAGCCCACAACUGGACUUGAUCCAGCAGCAAAUUUCGAAGUUGUAACAUGAUUAUACUGCGUCCUUAGGGCAAAAAGAAUGAUCACUGUACAAAAUCAUAAAACUACCAUGCAACUAUUACUUCUUUUGAGAACCUAUUUCCUUAUCACAAUUCCUAUCAGUAAAAAUGUUCAGAUGUUACCUGCUGUUAACAAUCUCCAUGUUUUGUUUCCUAUUUUGAAAACAGUAAAAGAGAAAAAAAAACCCUCAUAACCCUUUAGUCCGUAUAAAUCUUCACACUGGCUGGGUUUUCUUGAGAAAUUUCUGUUUACUCUGAUCAGAAAUCCUGUUUAUCAGCAGGGAUUUCUUAAGUACAUCUGAUGUGCCUGUGUGCUAAUGAUUCUAAAAAAUGUCUUUUUGUGAAGAUAAGUCAUAUACAUUUAGUGUCACUAGUGAGCCAGAUAACAUUCUGCCAAUUAUAUGCUUGAUAACCCUAUGUUGCAUACUGGUAGAAUACAAAUUAUACUGAUACUGCUCUGUUUCUGUAACUAAGUAUUAAGGUGGUUGCUAGAGAGAAAUAAUCCAGCAGAUACUUAUUUGGAACCUUGUAUGUGCCAAUAUGCAAUAAAGUAGUACUUGCAUAGCAAACAUAGUAAAUGGAAAUUAAAUUAGAAAGAAAUUGGUAUGGGUGCACAAAGUAAAUGAAGCUUGGACUGAGUCUUGAUAGCACAUUACUCAGAAAAGAUAAGUUUGUACCUUCUGGAGGAGAAUGUAGAAACAGUUCUAUUCCAGAUUGUAUACCUAGCCUCUUUGUUCAUGCUUUUUCACGGAUACGUUAGAAUGUAAAAUGAACAGUUUUUGAUGAUGUUGUUUUUAGUCAGCAUUUUAUAAAAAAGAUAGGACUUUGAAGAAUAAAUGCAAAUAUUGGAGGAAAGAAUUAAGGAAUGAACAUAAGAGCUUACCUUUUAUUUUCAAGAGAUUUAGAAGGUUUUGUCUUUUUCAGGGUAAGGAGGGCAAAUAUUUUACUUAUCCAGAAAUUUUGUAUUAGAAGUUUUAAGAUGGUGGAGAUUUUAAACUACUCAAAAAUAAUUUUGUUUUAGCGUUUUCUUCUUAUUGUCAUAAAGGCAGGGCAUAGAGUAAUGAAGAGCAUGGGCUUUGGGAUCAGGCCUGCAUUCGAAUCCCAUUUUUAUCUCUUUAUCUCCUCUCUGUAGUAUGACUUUGAGCAAGUUGCCGAAUCUAGAACUUCAGUUUUCUCAUCUAUAAAACAGGGGUUUUGGUACCUGUCUCAUAGUAUUAUGAAAUGAUCUAUGUAAUGAGUAGGGUGUGCAUGCCAUACAGGAGAUGUGCAGUAAGUGACAUUAUAUUCUGAAGGUUAAAAUAAUUGGUACUUUUUAAAGAGAUUUACAACUAGCAUAUUUAAAAAUAUGGAAUGUGAAUAUUUCUGACAAUCUUUUAAGAACAAGUCUAUACAUUAACUGACUUGCUCAUUUUAAGAAGAUGAAGGCAAUGACUACAAAAGAAAUGGAAACUUCCCCUGUAUUUUGUAUUUCUUAAUUUAAGAAUACUUAAUCAGCUGAUUCUUUUAUUGAGCAGUUACUAUUUUUCUGACAUAUUUCUCUAGGACAUUCUGAUGAAGAGAAAAAUAAUUACAUUAAAAUUCUGGCCUUUGAAAUGCAGUCAAACUUUCAAGUGAUUAAUGUAUUGCACCCAAAAUUGUUUUGUUCAUCUGCCUACGUAUUAUCUUCCCUACAAGAUUGGGGCCUCUUUCAAUGGGGAAAUGUUUUCAUAUCUGGGAAUUUAUGUAGUGUCUUGGAAAAAAAAAUCAUUUUCUUCAUAAAUGUUUAUAAAAUAAAAUCAAAGAAUGAAUGUGUCAGUGGUCAGCCAGCCAUUACCAGUUUUGGCUUUUAGCAUACAAAAAACUGGCUAAUUUUAUGAGGUUUAGUAAUUUUUAUGUUAUUGGUUACAGAGUCAUUUAUUAAAUAAGUGAAAUGUGGGAUUGAUAAGGUCACUGAGCCAGUUCAUAGAUAUUAGCCUUGAUGAGUAUGAACUUUGUGUAAUGUAAUCAGAGCUAGAGUUCAUGUGUAACAUGCUAUUUGCCUUCUAAAGAUAGUGAAAGAUACGCAGAACACCUGUUAUUCAUAAGUUGUUUGUUUGUUUGCUUGUUUUUUAUCGGUAUCCCAUAAGGGUCAGUUUGGGCUGGAUAGUCCUAAUCUCAGAUUGUAUACACACACACACACACACACACACACACACACACACACCUUCAUCUAGUUUUCCAGAUUGCAAGAGAAAAAUAGAAAAUAGGACACAUAAAAAUUCUAUUUCUACUCCUAAUAUAGCUCUGUGAGCAUACCCAUCCAACUCUUGGAACAAGUUUAGUUACUAUAUUAUCUUUUGUUUGCUUCCUGUUUUACACUCUUAUUAUCAAUUUGAAGUUUUAUAGAAUUCUCAGAUUUAAUUUGUGAGGCUACCUAAGAAAUUAUAGGUGCUAAUGUGCCUACAGUAUUCCCGAUAGACAAGCUUAAUGGUUUACAAUAUUUAUUUAGCUGAUAUAAUCAGAAAUUGUCAGCUACGAAUGUUAAAGCAAUUUUAUGUUUAAAAUUCUAAGAAACAUAAAUCUUAUAUAGAACUAACAGUUCUUAGUAUAGUUCUUUUAUAGUUCCUGUAUUAAUAAUGUAGUCUCUGACCUACUUUAUUAUUGUUUAGUACUUAUUAUGCAUUUUGGAUGAUAUAAAUCCACUUCAAAUUAAGCUGUUUCAGUAAAGGUAUAGGAGAACCUUUAAAACUCUUUCCAUUAUCUGUAAGAAUAUUAUUUAUUGACUUUUGAUUCUUGAAUACUUUUCUUCCCCCACUCUAAAGAUCCUUGGUCAUUGAUUUAACAGGUACUUCCUGAUCACUACUGUGUCCCAGGCAUACACUGGAGACAUAGAGAAGAACAAGAUCUAUCCCGUUAUUAAUUCCAGUAUUGUGCCAGCAAAUGGAAAUCAUAACUUUGUAGGGGAAGCUUUUCCAUAACCCAUAUAUAUAGUAAUUGUUUAAGAUCAUACUGAAAUGAUUUGACAUUAGCCCUUGUUAAUUGUGAGGAUGUUUCUGUACCCGGGACUUAGUUUUAAUAGAUUUAAUAUGUUCUUAUCAUUGGGGGUAGAUACUUUUGUAGGUCAUAGUUGAUUCCUGAAUGAUUAUUCUUAGAUGACUAGGAAGCUAAUUAAUAGAUGCCCAGUGCCACUUCUUACAUUCCAAAUUGCUUUACUGUAUGCAGUUUUUAUUCCAAACAUAGGUCAGUACUUGGUGAUGUUUGGGUUUUUUGGUUCAGUAUGUCAUGGAGAGUACUUUAUGAAUUUCAAAACUGAUCAGUGAUAGGAGGUGGGAAGUAUAUAUUUUGUAAAGAUAGUGAUUAGAUAUUUAUAGAUAAUGACCCUUUUUUGAGGAAGAAUGAACAUGAAUGAUAAAACUUUAUAUAAAAUGCUUUCCUUGGAGCUCUUGGUUUUAAUAGGUGUUUAUUCUAUACCAUAUUAUGUAUGCCAGGUACUCUUCUGGGGAAUGGAUAUUUAUUUGAUGGUGAGUAGCACACAAAGCUGCUGUCGUAACUGAUCUCAGAGUAGUCUUUUCUUGUUUUGUGAUAGGAGAAAGUGUUAUAUCAAAUAGCUUCGUGGUGAAGAGUACUGACUUUGGCGUGUUGUGUAUGUACAGAUCAUAGUGGUAUCACUUGCUGGUUGUGUCACUUCAUUUAAUUUAUCCAAGUUCUCUGAGCCUCCAUUUUCUCAUCCAUAAAUUGAGAAUAUUAAUACUUACCUCUUGGUUGUUGAGAGAUUUAAACAAGAUAAUUUCUAUACAGUAUUUAAUUAAUAAGCUCAAUAAAAAUACAAAAAUGAUACACAACAAAGUAUUAACCAUUACAUAUUUUUCUUACAAAAAUGACCUUUCCUAUUGAGAGAUGGCAGUUUGAAGGAUAUGUUUGCAUUUUUCUUUGAAGGUGAUAUUACAGCACAAGAAAUGUAUGUAAGUCCUUUAUUCCUCGUAUCCACCUACCCUACCAUCUUGUUAACAUGAUUGAGCUUCAGCCUUUAGUCUCUAAAGUCUUUUCUUUCUCUCCUUUUUGUGGAACUGUCAAGAAGCAUAUCAACUAUAUUGCUUUAGUUUGUGUAUACCAGAAAGGAAUCUGAAGUCACUUGUUCAUUUAAUAUAGACUGUGGGUGAGUAGCCACCAGAUAGAAUUGGUACUCUGAGUUGAUAUCAGACCAGUGACCCAGAGAUGAUAGUCUCUUGUAUCAUUAAUAGUCCUCUGAGAAGUUCAGUCUUUAAGUUUAGUGUUUAUUUGUCACAAUCUAGAAAUAUCUGUUACACCGGAGUGUCAAGAUUCCAGGCAUAUUGUCAUUUUUAAAAAGAGAUAAUAAUAUUUAGCAUAACUGUAUACUUUUUAAAAAACUUUAAUUAGGAAUUUUCCUAAGGAAAUAGAGGUCUUUAAAUGUUUCUCCCUUGGGGUACCUGGGUGGCUUAGUUGGUGAAGCAUCCGACUGCGGCUCAUAUUAUGAAUCUUGUGGUUCAUGAGGUUGAACCCUGCAUCGGGCUCUGUGCUGACAGCUCAGAGCCUGGAGUCUGCUUCAGAUUUUCUCUCCUUCCCUCCCUCCCUCUCUCUCUCUCAAAAAUAAAUAAUAAACAUUCAUUUUUUUUUUCAAUAUUUCUCCCUCAUUUUCUGUUGAUGUUUUCAUAUGUCAAGUGCCUGCGGAUGCCAAAUUUAUAAUUCUGAUUUGGUUUUGGAGUAGCUUUUUUCUAACUUUAACACUGUUGUAGUAGCAGUAUUCUACCUUGUUUACCAGGUCAGUUUGGGUGUUCCAAGAAGCAGGUACCAAAAUGGGAUUAGUUGUGCAAGAGAUUUAUUAUGGUAAGCACCUGUGAUGGAUAAAGGGGAGACCCUUCAGACAGCAGUACAGGUCUGACCCUGUAGAAGGAAAAAGGAAAGGUAGAAUUGGGUAGGAAAAAUACCAGACUACAACAUGUUUCUGAGAAAGUUUCAGCCAGACUGAUGGGGAGUCCUUGAGACAAAAUUGCCUUUAGAGUAAUCCUAGGUUCUAGUACCCCCACGGUACUCAUUCAUUGGCUGGGAGUAGCCCAAGGAAAACAUGACUUAGGGUGAACUCCCAGAAGAUCCAAAGGUGUAGCAUGUGGAGGUGGUGAGUCAGCGAUGCUCUCUGAAGCAGGUUCUGUCUGAAAGGAGGUCUGAGCUGGCUACAAUGUGACUGCCACAGUUAAUAACACUAAGAACUACAGUGGCAAGUAUACAUACGUUUUAUUUAAUCUUAUCACCAACUCUGUGAGGUGUCGUUCAUGAGCAAAUGGAGACAUUGAGAGCGUAAAUAACUUACCCUGGAUUGCUGAGCUAGCCACUGAAGAACCACAGUUGUAACUUAGGCAGGAUUCUGACUCCUGUGUCUCAAGCGUUUAGGUACCUAUACCAGACCGACUACGUGCAUACCAGAAAAAAUCCUGCUGAACUUACUGUUUGCAUUUUUUGAUGCAUGUCUUCACUUGUCAAAAAAAAAUACAUUAUGCUAGUUCCACCCCAUCCCCCUUUUCUCCCAGUAUAUUGAAGUUGUACUACAGAUCUCUAGCUACAGUAAGCAGUUCUCCAAGGAUGAAGAAAGAAAAUGUACAUACACAUAGGAAUUUCUUUUCCAGAGCUAAAAUUGACAUUUUAUAAAUAAUUUCCGUGUUGCAAACUUGAGACUAAGAAAUCACAGCAAUUCAGUGAUAUGCAUUUGGCAUGAGUCAGUUUUAGUUCUUAGUGCUUUUCAUUGGAAAUGGCAUAAAAAGUAAGAUUUCUUUGAAUUUUUUAUGCUGUGGGCUUACAAGAGACAGAAGAUGUUUUUCUCUUAUAGAUGUCUGGCAGUGCAUGGCAGCAGAAGUAACGCAAGGGUCACAAACCCCAGCAGUACUCCCAGGUCACAUGCACCCUUAAUUUUUAAAGAAUCUAGAGACAACCUAAGCAGUUGAUAACAGGUCAUUUCUAGGUGAUAAAGAGUAUUUGAUAUGGAGUGCUGCUACACUAGCAUUUUUAUAGUCAUUAGAUACGAUAGUAGGUGUAUGUACUUUUAAGUAUGUAAUGUAAUUGGUAACUGAAUUACAACCUUUUUUCUUUUUUUUGACAUUUGACAUUGAUUUUGAGGUCUUAAAAGUUUUCUUUCAAGCCUUAAAAAAAAUCUGCUUCUGUUUAUUUUUAUGUAAACACUUUCCAUAGUCAUUGACUUCAAUAUAAAUGCAAUUGGAAAUGCCAAAGGCAGCUACUGUUAUAAGAGAGACACGGAGACGUAGAGAUUAUAAUUCUAGUAACUACUGCCAAAAGUGCUUAUGCAUUUUUCUUUCAGAAACCUUUGUAUUAAACUAAUUUUAAGAGCUUUGCUUAAGAAGAGAGCCUCCUUUGAAAGUAAACAUUGGGUUUACAUAGUUUGAUGCUUUAGAAAUUUAGUCUCUCAGUGACCUAGCAGUUGAUAUGAAAAUAUGAAUUUGAAAAUAAAUAGCAUAUUGGAUAAACUGUACUAUACUUAUGAAAGAAGCCAAAAAAUUAUGGAUUAAGCUGAAUUUGGAAAUAAUUACAGUUUUGAGUCCUAAACCAGAUUCGUUAUUAAAAUGAAAUGAUAGGUCCUUGACCCUUGGGUGUGCUUGGAAUAAAUGUGGAACACAGUAUUGUUUUUAAAACUAUUUUGCUUUUAUAAGCUAAGACAGAUGUACAAAAAAGAUGCAGUUUUUAUUUUGUAUUGGCAGCUUCCAAAUAUUUAGUAUCUAUUUCCAAGAGUUGCAAUUAGUAAAGCAACCAUGGUACUGAAAUCUGCACAUCCCACAAGCUAAUUAUAUUUGCAAGGUCAGAGUGAAUACAUAUUUUCAGAAAAAUAAAGGGUUAUAUAAAUAUGUGUCUUCUACUUGGCUGUUAUAUCACAGUUUGUUGAUCUGGAGUAUAAUGUGUACAAUUCACAAAUUUGUCUGAUAACAGAAAGUGGUGUGUGAUUGUGUUUAUUUUACUAACCAGUAUAUUCACAGCAAUCACUUCCAAAUAUCUCUCCAGUAAAGAUGUGUUAAUUACAAAACAGACAAGGUCUUCUAUUAUAUUAAAGCUACUAACAAGAAGACAGCAGGAAUCACACAUGUAAAUAGCAUCAUCAACCCCUAUUUUAGUCCUCUGUUUUGAUCUGUGAGUUGCGCAUAGACCAAAGGUGCUAUUAAAGACUGAGUGUAUGAAAUAGGCAGCAUUAUAUGAACAAAAUUUAUUCAACAAGAAAACAGACCUUUAACAUGAAUUUAACAAGCCUGAGAAAUUAUAAACUAUCAUAUGCUGCAGAUUCAUGCAGUGAUAAUAAACAAAAAAGGAAAGUAAGAGGUUUCCCUAAGCUAGCCAAACUGCUAAUGGUUUUGUUAUAAGCUGUCUACUGUUGCAGUGACCUCUGAAAAGUCUCAAGGCACUUGUACCAGAAAAAAUUAAAUGGUCAGGCUGGUGGAUAGAUUCAAUGUGGUAUAUAGGAUUUCAGCAUGGGAAGGAAUUAUAAAAGUCUAGCAUCAUAUUCCUGAAAAUAUUCUUUAUAGUUUAGUUUGAAAGUUUUUGUUAGUACAUAUUAAUGAGGUAGUUUUUAUGCAAAGAGUUUUGGCUAAAUUACUAUUUGGAUUUAUAAGAUAUAAACUGAACUGGUUUAAUGUAUGUAUAUUUUAAAACAAACUGUUUAGAAAAUUCAUAUAGCUCCAAAAAUGGAUUCUUUCCCUUGUCCCCUCCCCCAAACCUUAAUUAAUCUUUGGGGGUUCUUUGUGCAGUAUAUUGUAUCUAAGAUACCGUUCUUAUCCGUGGAGUGACCACUUUGCUGUCAUUGUGUUGCAUCAUGCUGUAAAUACAUAAACAUGGAGAAAUGCCUUCAGCUUAUACACACCUCCAAGUGCUCACCAGGGCUUUUUCUUGAAUCUUACUGUGGCAUAAUUAACACCUUCUUCACCCAUUGCUCAUUAGUGCACUGGACAUUAAUGAGUCUAUUUUGAUAGGUUGCUCUAAAGGAGAAACCCACUUAUUCUCACAGCGCAGAAGGCAAUUAUAAAAUUGUACAGAAAUUAAAAUGUAGACUAUAUUGCCAUAUUUAUAUUUUUAUUGCGUACUAAAUCUAAUUUUGGUCUGCAGGUUGUUGAACAUGUUAGUUUCCUUAAGACAGUUGCUAUAGCGAUGGCAGCAAAUUCCUUUAAUCUUGGUGUAGUUAAAGUAUUAUUUUCUAUUGGCUAUCAUAUUGCUGUUCAGGAAUUGUCAAUCUAAGCAUGCAAUUUCACACAGGCCAUCACUUAUUAGUUGAGCAGUGUAUCACCUUUAAAAUGUUUUAUUUAAUAUAAUUUAAUUUUUUCUAUUUUAGAUUUGUUUCUAACUGAUCAUAAUACCUACUUAGCUGGUAUUUUCAUUUCCUUUUUAUGAAGUUUCACACCUGCUUAUAAUAUUCCAGAGAAAUAUUACAGAGAUUUUUGCAUGUAAAAUAGCUGCCUGCUGUUUGUUUAAAAGUGUUCAGUAUAAAAAAAAUACAUAGACAUUUUAUUGUGAUAUAUGAUGGAAUUUUCAUAGUUCUGUAGGAUUGUUUUUUUCCUACAAAUGAUUUUACUAAAAUUUUAAAAUGGAAUCAAAGGUUUCUAAGAACAGUUGGGCCAAGAUGAUGCUUUGCUCUUAAGUUUACCACAACACUUAAAUGGUGGAAGUUCUUAAUCCUGCAUUUAUUUAAGUACAUCUGCCUAUUAAAAUGGUCCUUUUUCUCCUUUUGCUUACAUUUUAAUUUUAUCUUAUGUGUUUUUUAGUAGAAAAUUUUACUUCUUUGUUUUUCAAACAAGUGAUUGAAAUUAUUUGUGAUGUUUUACUAAAGCAUGCCUGAUAUUAGUACCUAUUUUUAUUAUUGCUAUAUGAAAAUAAAUGAUUAAAAAAUUUUAAGUAUAAGCAGGAGGUAUAAACCUAGGCCAUAUUCAUUUAUAUAUAAAGGUGAAAGUUGAGUCUGAAUUUCAAUUAUUGUAGAGGAAAGAAAAAAGUUUCCAAAACUAUUAAAUCAUGUAUGUUCUGGGGAUACUUGGUUUUAUUUUGAGGCAGGAGGACUCUUUGGGGAAAUUCAGACUGUUAGAAAUAAAAGCAAAAUUCAAAGUUGAUUUUUUUUUUUUUUUUGGCCUGCUGGAGUGGAUACUUCUUGUAAUGCUUCGGUCUAAGUUUGUAUUCUUUGAUACUGUUUGUUGACCCUUCAUGGUAGCCUUUUAGAAAGGGUGAUUUUCUUUUUCUUUCUUUAGAUUUUGUUCUUUAGUGUACAGCAUGCAUACAUAACUCUGAACAGAUUUUUCAGAUGUGAUUAGAUUUCAUGUGGCUUAACUUAAAAAUAAAUUUUAUUUUCUACCUCUUACUCAACUAAACUUACUCAACUAUACUCAAACUAAUACAGAUGGGAAACAGUCUAGUUGAUGGCUGCUUUUAUAACAUUAAUAAAUCUCAGUUAAAGCACCUUUAAGGCAAAUAUAGAAAAAUACAUUAUCUUGCUUAAAAUUUUUUUUAUGUGACGGCAGUAUUGAGUUUAUUAUCUAGGUAAUUGAUGUAAAUUCCCAGAAAGAAGUAUCUGUCUUAAGUCCCAGUGCUUUACAUAAAACUUAAACGAGUUCUAUCAAAUCCAUGACAAUGAACAGAAAAAAAAAAUGUUAGGAUACUAUGUGAUGGUUGUUAAAUUUCUUAAUAUAAAAGAACAGAUAAUACUGUAUCAUGUAAGACUAUGUACUCUUUUUUUAUGGAAAUAUUGAAUACACUUAGAAAAAGAUGAUACCUACUGUUAUUUCUGUACUAUGAACUUAGGGCCAUAUCAUUCUAUACCAUGUUCCUGGCUUAAAGCACAGAUGACCUUGGUUUUUUCGUAUUUGCCUCCUAUUCUUGACAGUGGCUUGGAUAUUUAAGGCCAUCAGACAAGGUAUAAAGUCUUUUAUAGUCACAAGAAGUAAAAGGUAUCUGACUAGAAGAGAAUACGUGGAGCAAGUGCCUUGCUGGCUGUAAUUUUGUUGUCAUUUCAAGUACUGUGGUAGUAUAAUUGAUGUGACAGGGCUGGGCUUUACAUGUGGUCCCUUAGCUUGUGCUCACUUUCAGUUUUAGUUUCUCUUUGUCAUUCAUUUUGAUUAGGUAAAAUUUAGGUGACAAACAUGCACACCAAUGAAGGCUGUUUGGUUGUGUAAGUUUAGUAAUGAUGUAUUUCAAUACUAAAGAUGCAAAGUUAAUGUUUUUCUUUACUGCUUCAUGAAAAUUGCAAUAAUUGGUGUCACCUUACAUUACAAGAUAGAGGGUGGUGUGCUGAUGGCACAGUCAGCAGGAGGUUCUUUUUUAUUAAUAUUAUAAUUAAAUGAUUUUCUGGAAAUAGGCCAGAAACAGAUGCAAGUUGAUCAUGCCUUGUCCACUGUUGCUUGGCAUCAUCACUUGCUUUUUAAAAAAGAAUUGACCGGACACCUUAUUUUUACAGGUUGUUAUCGAUGCCUUCAGAUUGAUCAAUGCUAAUAUGAUGGUCUUAGGACAUGAACCAAGACAAACAACCUCAAAUCUGGGUCAUUUAAACAAGCCAUCCAUCCAGGUAAUGCCUGUAUUUGAUAAUGUGUUAAAACUCUGUUUUACAUUUUAAAAGCCUAUUAUAAAUGGUCAUAUUAAAAUCUGAUACUUAGCAUUUUAAUUUGUUUGCAAUUAGUUUUUCUUGUGCUUGAGAAGAUGAUUAUGGAAAUUCUGUUGCGAAAGUUAGAUUUGCUCAUUUAUGAGUCCGUUUUUUGUGGAGUCUUUAAACUUUCCUAACAUAGUUUGAGGAUACCCUUUUUGGGAGCACAGGGGAGCCUUUAUCUUGAGAGUACCUUAUGGCUUUGCAUGGUUAACAUUGUAGUCAAGGACCAACACAAGUUUCAGGUAGAGUGCAUUAGGUAUCACUAUUGAUUGGUUAGUAGACAUUUCUCAUAGCAUUAAAAAUGGGAAAAUUGAUACACCUUGAGACAGAAUUCCUAAAUGGUACUUAAAGUUUUCUACCUUUUCUUUGUUUACUCUCCACAUUUAAAACAAAUUCUACAAAACAUCUGUGUAUUACUUUUGAUUCAUUUAUGUCUUAUUCUAAUAAUGUCAACCGUCGUUCUCACAGUUAUGUGGGCAUUUAAUAUCCUCCUGAGUGAUUAAUGUUUUCUGUGUAUCAUUCACGUGUCUCAUUGUUUUUACACAAAUCUUUAUUGUUUGCAAAGAUUAUUUUAAAUGUGUUUUUAAAUGCACCACAAACUGUGUCUAUAUAGUUAAUUGCUUCUCUGAAGAUUAAUUAAAUGGACAGAAAUACCAGUUUGGUUUAAUAGAACACAUAGGACAAAGACAUUAUAGUAGCUAUUACUUCUUGCCUUCUGAAACCUUGCUCUGUCAUAUGAUUGUCUUUGGGGAGUUGUGGCUUUGAUAGUUAACCAUGGUUAAGCCUGGGUUACACUCUGAUAACUUUAUACCUUUAGAUGCUUACUUUUGUAGCAGUCGCUCAUCUGAAAUUUUCCGAAGUGAAAUGUUUUGUUUCAAAGAAUUGAGGUGUGUUGCUUUUGCAUAAAAUUUUUUUACAAGUCAGGGAAAACUGCAGAGUUUAAUGAGUAUGAAAUAAACUACCAGUGUUUUUGAUUGGGUACAGACAAGCCCAUGCUUGUAUGUUCCAGGAGAAUAUAUUAUUGGACCUGUUUAGCCUGUGAUAAUGACCUUUCUUAUAAACCCCCAUAGUAUCAUACUGCUUCAUUAUUUUUUUGCAAAAGGUUAAGUAGCAUCUCACAAUCCAAGAUCAUUGUGAUUACUACAUGGUAUAUUUCUGCCAGAAGUUUUUACUAAUUGCAAGUCAACAGCCACCUGUUGCCAAUUUCAUGUCUUAAAUGUAAACACUGCUUUUUAACUUUAUAAAUUGAGUAAAAUCAAUAUUAAAAUCUGUUUUUUUUCUACAGCAGUCCAGUUUUUAUUUUUCGGUGCUACCUUACCGUCUGUCAUUUAAGGUAGACCUUAUAAAUAAAGCAAGUUCCAAACCCAAGUUAGAAAGACGUGUGUAUAUAAUAGCUACAACAUCAUUGUUUUUCCUUUCAUUUUAGUUUGUUUUGCCUUGUAAUUAAAAUCUGUAAAUAUAUUUAUUUCACAGUUUAAAUAGCGCCCAUCAGAAUGUCAUCUAUCUGAGUGCUUUAUAGUUUUAAGACAAUUUCAGUACUAAAACACUCAAAUGGGAUUAAGCCAACAAGUGACAGAACAAAGCCACACCUUAAAACUAUUUCUCCCAUCCAAGUACUAACCAGGCCCAACUCUGCUUAGCUUCCGAGAUCAGACGAGAUCGGGCGCGUUCAGGGUGGUAUGGCCAUAGACAAAACUAUUUCUUAGUUUUGGCUUUUAUUUUGAAGGAAAAUUAGUUCGUGUUAAGAGGGGCCUUCCUCCUAAACCAACUUCUUUGUAACUGGGGAUAGAAACCACUUAUGCUGGUGGUUACUAAUGCUUCUCUAACAUUGAUUUUUUUUCUGUUAUACUUACAGUAGUGGGGAAAAUUAUUAUUUUAUAGAUUACUGUUUAAUAAUUUGAGGAAAAUUCAAAAUAUGUUAAGAAAAAGGUUAUAAAAUAGGAUAUAAAGGUUCUCUUAGCAAAUACAUAUUUUAUAAACUGUGCCUAUGUAUCUAUACCAAAAUAUUAGCAUUGAUUACUUUUGGUGGUGGCAUUAUGGAAUUUUUUUCCUGUUUUUCCUUUUCCGUGGUUCCUAAACUUACUACUGUGAAACGUUUAUUACUUAAAGAAAACAUUAUUUUUAAAACACUAAAACAGGGUUGAAAUAGGUACCAUAAAACAAAGCUAAUAGACAAAGUUUAUGUUAACAUCCAUGUUUUAAGUAAGGAAAGCCAUUUUAAUCCUGAUAGGCAGAAGUAUAGUGCCCACCCUAUGGACUUUUGUUUUAAUAUAUGAGAGUUUGUAUUAUUUUGUCCUUGGAAUAUUUGACCAUUAUUGUCAAAGGUAAUAGGAUUGAGAGUUAACAAGCAUUUUAUUUUAGUAACUAAAAAUUUUAAACUAUAUUCCACUUAAACUGUUAAGAGCAUUUCAAAUCUUUGAGAUCCAUAGUAUAAGUGAAGCUUGGGUUGUGAACUGCAUGGAAAUUUGAUAACUUUUGGUGCACAGAUGCAUUGUGCAAGGACCGUGAGCCUCUAAGUGUAGCCCUGAAUACAGUUGCAUUGUCUAACAGAGUUUUAAGCUGUUUGAAAAACUUUUUUUUUUUUUUUUGAGGAGUUAUAAAACUAUUGCCCUGGAAGGAACCAUUGAGGCCCAGAAAGUUCAAAAUUUGCCCAGGUUUCAUAGUGAAUUAACGUAGGAACUGAUAUUUAUAACCUGUGCUCCUGGUUCUUUAUACUGCACUUGGAAUUUAAUUACAUAAUGAAUUUUAGCACAGAUAAUGUAUUUAUACAGUUCAAAAUUUAAAAGGUACAAAAAGGUAGUUAGCAGAAUUUGAAUAAAUAUUUGAAUAACUCAAAUGGUGAUUGAUUUUGAAGUUUAUUUCACUGUAAUGAUUACUUGUAUACUUGUUUUGAAUUUGUCAUGCCAAUAAAAUUAUGAAGCUCUACUCUAAAUUUUUUUUUUUU